rnacentral:rRNA from 1 species
GAUGAACGCUGGCGGCGUGCCUAAUACAUGCAAGUCGAGCGAACGGACGAGAAGCUUGCUUCUCUGAUGUUAGCGGCGGACGGGAGAGUAACACGUGGAUAACCUACCUAUAAGACUGGGAUAACUUCGGGAAACCGGAGCUAAUACCGGAUAAUAUUUUGAACCGCAUGGUUCAAAAGUGAAAGACGGUCUUGCUGUCACUUAUAGAUGGAUCCGCGCUGCAUUAGCUAGUUGGUAAGGUAACGGCUUACCAAGGCAACGAUGCAUAGCCGACCUGAGAGAGUGAUCGGCCACACUGGAACUGGGACACGGUCCAGACUACUAAGGGAGGCAGCAGUAGGGAAUCUGCCGCAAUGGGCGAAAGCCUGACGGAGCAACGCCGCGUGAGUGAUGAAGGUCUUCGGAUCGUAAAACUCUGUUAUUAGGGAAGAACAUAUGUGUAAGUAACUGUGCACAGCUUGACGGUACCUAAUCAGAAAGCCACGGCUAACUACGCG